rnacentral:misc_RNA from 1 species
AAGGAUCAUUAUCGAAUAAACUUGAACAGGCUGUUUGCUGGUCUCUCCUGGGACAUGUGCACGCUUGUCAUCUUUAUCAUUUCUCCAAACCUGUGCACCUCUUGUAGACCUGGAGCUGGAUUUCAUUCGAGUUGGGAACUGCUGUGCUUUCACACAAGUCAGCUUUGCCUUGCAUUUCCAUGGUCUAUGUUCACACAAAACCUGUUUUAGAAUGGUUGGCAAAAUGAAAUUAAAGUUAUACAACUUUCAGCAACGGAUCUCUUGGCUCUC